GGCCUGUUAGCUCAGCUGGUAAGAGCGUGGUGCUAAUAACGCCAAGGUCGUGGGUUCGAUCCCCACAUGGGCCA
rnacentral:tRNA from 1 species